GUAAUUUUCUUUUGAUUUCUGCAUGUGUUCUGAGGUCUACAUGUACCCUCCUCUCUCUUUCUACCUCUCAUUUUCAUUCUCACUCUGUCCAUUUCUCUCUACCUCUCACUCUUUGGGAUGAAACGCUUAGCUGUAUUUAAUGCUGUGAGCUAUUGAGGUUCUAGACCAAAUUGUCUUAUCUCCUCAAACAGACCCACAUAUAUGUAAUAUCCAGGUAGCGCCAUAGAACGAGGCAGGUGAAAAGAUUGACAAAAAGAGUGUGAUCAUUUGUGUACAGCUGCAACCUCAACUCCAGCUUUGUCAUAACUGUGAACCUCAGUAAAGACAGCCCAACCAUGGAUCAGAAAAUCAAUGAAUGCCCCACCACCACCUCCCCCCAGAAACAUAUGAAGAGCAGGUCCAAAUCCACCGAUGAGAUCCAGCACACCAAGAGGCUUUCAUCACAGAAAUCCCUUCCCGGUGGGCCGGACCUGGACAAAGUCAAGGAGGGCCCAGAAGGUUCUGAGACGCCCUCGUCCUCCACAGAGGAGCUGAAGUGAUGACGGCUGGGGUCCCUAAGGGAAACAAGGCCAUGAACCUUCCAUCUGCUCAUUAAACAUGAACACAUACUGUACACACACAUAGACUCACAUACACACACACAGUCACAUACCUACACACACUUAUACGUUUGUUUAAAUGCAAACACUGAAUUGAUAAACUGAGUUGGUGGAAAGUCAUGUGAUCAGUUAGCGAGAAACACACACGCACACACCAACAAGAUCUCAUGAUUUUACCAAUUUGACUUCAAAUUCAGACGUUUAUCCAUGUUUCUCCAAGCUUAACAUUUAGACGUUGCGCCAAACGUCAAAUUUCGAAGUGUUUUUGACACCAUGUGUUGACUCCUGUUCAGCAUCAUUCAGUUUCUCCAAACAUCAAAUUUAAGGUAAGGGUUAACGUUUUGGAUAGGGCUAAAAUAUUAACGUUAGACAUUAAUUCUGAAUGGUUAAGUUAAGGGUUAGGGUUUGGGAUAGGGUUAAAACAAAAAAUGUAAAAUGUGUUUCUACCACUGGGAGAUAACAUGUGGCAUAGUGCUCAUGGACAGAUGUCCAAUUUUCAAGUCAAUCUUGAGCGAUCUGCCUACACACGCACACGCACACGCACACGCACACACACACACACACACACACACACACACACACACACACACACACACACACACACACACACACACACACACACACACACACACACACAAUGACAACAAGAGGAAUACAAGAAAUGGGCACGUGAUGAUGCUGUAUCAUUGUACUGUGAGUUAUCUGUACAUACCAAACUGAAUGUGCAUUCUUCACAAUAAAGCAGUGCUGUUGAGUGGACCCAUCUCUACAUUUUCCCUUAGAAUUUGUCAAAAUGCUGAGAACAUGUACCGUUCAAAUGUUGAUGUGAUUUUACAGUAGGAACUGGGACAUGGACAUUUCUGAGGGAGAAUAUGUGGUAGUCAACAUCAUGGUUUAUGAGGAGGGAGGGAAAGUUCAAAAGGGGAAAGUGUAAUUCAUCAAUGUGUUUGUGGUACAGAAUAUACACUGCUCAAAAAAAUAAA